rnacentral:misc_RNA from 1 species
GAAAUGCGAUAAGUAGUGUGAAUUGCAGAAUUCAGUGAAUCAUCGAAUCUUUGAACGCACAUUGCGCCCUUUGGUAUUCCUUAGGGCAUGCCUGUUCGAACGUCAUCUAAACCUUCAAGCCCUGCUUGGUGUUGGGUGCCUGUCCCGCCUCCGCGCGCGGACUCACCUCAAAUCCAUUGGCGGCCCCCGCGUCGGCCACGAGCGCAGCAGAAACGCGAACUCGUGAGCCCGUCCGGGCGGCUCCCAGAAGCUACACCCACCCAGUUUGACCUCGGAUCAGGUAGGGAUACCCGCUGAACUUAAGC